rnacentral:lncRNA from 1 species
CUUCCAGCCUUGGUCUGCCUGGUAACGACAUCUGUCCUGUGGGGCAUUUCUGCCCCCGGGGUACAGGGUACCCCAUGCCCUGUCCUCCCGGAUCCUUCUCUCCCACCGUGGGCCUGGAGGCGGAGGAGCAGUGCCGGCCCUGCCCGGCCGGGCGCUACUGCAGCGCGGCGGGGCUGGCUGGCCUGGCCCAGACCUCGCUCUGCAACCCGGGGUAUGUUUGCCUGGAAGGAAACUCUGUGCCCUGCCCUUCUGAUGGGACUCAUGGAUACAGGUGUCCCAGUGGCUUCUACUGCCCUGCAGGCACUGGGCUAGAAGUGCCCUGUGAGCCUGGCACCUUCAGCCCUGCGCCUGGGGCCAGUGCCUGCCUCCCAUGCCCGGCCGGUAUGGCCUGCAGCAACGCCACCACUGUGGAGCCCCUCAGCUGUCCCAGAGGUUACUACUGUCCAGCUCAGACCGCUGUCCCCCUGCCAUGCCCUGAGGGGACGCUGAACACCUUGGAGGGGGCACUGGCCCCCAGCGCCUGCAAGCUGUGCCCAGUGGGGAGGUACUGCAGAGGAGAUGCCAACUGGGAACCUGACGGUCUGUGUUCAGCUGGGUACUACUGUGAAGGAGGAGCCACUGAUGCCAUUCCACGUGGGACACCUGCGUUCCCACUCAAUGGGCCCUGCCCACUGGGGCACUAUUGUCCAGAAGGGACUCAUUUCCCAGUUGCCUGCCCAGUUGGGACGCUGAACAAUGCCACAGGUGGUACCUCCCCAGAGAGCUGUGUGCCUUGCUACCCUGGGUCUUUCUGUGCUAGCGUUGGUCUGAGUUCUCCGACAGGACCUUGUACUGAGGGGUUUUACUGCCCAGCCAACUUCAGCUCCAUCAGCCCCACGGCUUUCCUCUGCCCUAAGGUACUGCUCAGGGACAGCUGGGCAGGGAAGGAGGUGGGUCUCAGCUCUGGGCAGGAGGUGUUCACCUUCCACAGUGGCCAA